GCACUGGGGGCGGCGCACUGCGCAUGCGGGAAGAUGGCGGGCCUGGCGUCCUGAGAGCCGUGGGUCACCCUGCUCUCCUCCCGCCCGCGUUCCAGCUCCCGGGGUCGUGGGGCAGCUGCGCGCCCGUCCGAGGGCCGGCCUAGCCAGGCGGCGCCUCCGGGCAGGCCAGGAGUCCAGUUCGUGCUUGGCCCCCGGGACCCGGCGGGUCGGGGGCGGUGCCCGACCCGAGCGGGAGAAGGCGGGAGAGCUCGCGGGGUGCGAGGCGAGAGGCGGCCGGCUGGGCAGCAUGAGUCAGCAGCGGCCGGCGCGGAAGCUGCCCAGCCUGCUCGUGGACCCGGCGGAGGAGACGGUGCGGCGCCGCUGCCGAGACCCCAUCAACGUGGAGGGCCUGCUGCCAUCAAAAAUAAGGAUUAAUUUAGAAGAUAAUGUACAAUAUGUGUCCAUGAGAAAAGCUCUAAAAGUGAAGAGACCUCGUUUUGAUGUAUCACUGGUUUAUUUAACUCGAAAAUUUAUGGAUCUUGUCCGAUCUGCUCCUGGGGGUAUUCUUGACUUAAACAAGGUUGCAACAAAACUAGGUGUACGAAAACGAAGAGUGUAUGACAUCACCAAUGUUCUGGAUGGAAUUGAUCUGGUUGAAAAGAAAUCUAAGAACCAUAUUCGAUGGAUAGGGUCUGAUCUGAGCAAUUUUGGAGCAGUGCCCCAACAGAAGAAGCUGCAGGAAGAACUUUCUGAUUUAUCGGCGAUGGAGGAUGCUCUGGAUGAGUUAAUUAAGGAUUGUGCUCAGCAGCUGUUCAAGUUAACAGACGACAAAGAAAAUGAAAGACUAGCAUAUGUGACGUAUCAAGAUAUUCAUAGCAUUCAAGCCUUCCAUGAACAGAUUGUAAUUGCAGUUAAGGCUCCGGCAGAAACCAGGUUGGAUGUUCCAGCGCCCAGAGAAGACUCUAUCACGGUCCAUAUCAGGAGCACUCAGGGGCCUAUCGAUGUUUAUCUAUGUGAAGUGGAGCAGAGCCACCCAAGCAGUAGCGUGUCGGACGGUAUCGGCGCCUCUUCAUCUGAAAGCAGACAUCCAGAGCAGCCCGGCCCUGAGAAAGAAGAAAACCCUCCACAGCAAAGUGAAGAACUGCUUGAACCUUGCUCUUCAAUCAAAGGGGAUCUUUUACUUACGAUGAGUUAGUGGUACCUGCCCUCUCUUCAGCUCCAGUCCCACGUUUCCAAGUACCUAGCUAUUUCUACCUCAUUGGAAACUACUCUAGGAUCACACGAUCCCAGGUUGGUGGAACCCACAGACGCGGAACCCGCGGGUACAGAGGAACUGCGAAUAGGAGGACGGACUGUAAAAUUAAAUGUGGAUUUUCAGCUGCGCCAGAGUCAAUCAGCCUCUUUUUGAUCACGGUUUCUUUACGCUAAGAAAUGUAUGGAUCUUCUGAAAUCUGCCCCGAUGGCAUUCUUAAUUUAAAUGGGGUCGCAUCAGUGUUGGGAGUAGGGGAAAAAAAGAGCAGAUAACAUCACCAACGUGUUACGUGGUACCUCAUUCAAGACAAAUCUAAGAAUCACAAUGGAUAUGUACAUUGUACAUUGUGUCAGCGCUGGAUGUGCAAAGACAAACAGGCAGGGUCCCCACCUUCAAAGAGGGGGACGAAGGGGGCUUGAAUCCUGGAUCUUCCACUUAAUAGCAUAAGCCUGUAAGUCCUUUACUUAACCUCUCUGAGCUCAGGGUGAUUACCCAUUAAAGCGGUCAGUCUGAGAGAGGGAAGCAUGGUAUCCAGCUUAAAAUAAGUGUUCAGUAAAUAUCAGGUUUCUCCCUCUCGUGGUGGAGGGGGCUUGAGGAGAGAAGUGACUACUGGCAAGGAAAAAAUAUUUUUUAAAAUUUAUUUUAUUGAAAUAUAGUUGAUUUACAACAUUGUGUUAAUUUCUGCUGUACAGCAAAGUGAUUCGGUUAUACAUGUAUGUACAUUCUUUUUCAUAUUCUUUUCCAUGAGACUUAUCACAGGAUAUUGAAUAUAGUUCCCUGGGCUAUAUAGUAGAAUAUAGUUCCAUUCUAUAUAUAAUAAUUUGCAACUGCUCAUUCCAAACUCCUAAUCUAUCCCUACCCCUGGCAACCACAAGUCUGUUCUCUAUGUCUUGUGAGUCUGUUUCUGUUUCAUAGAUAAGUUCAUCUGUAUCAUAUUUUAGAUUCCAUAUAUGUGAUAUCAUGUGGUAUUUGUCUUUCUCUGUCUGUCUUACUUAAUAUGACAAUCUCUAGGUCCAUCCAUGUGGCUGCAAAUGGUAUUAUUUCAUUCUUUUUUAUGACUGAGUAGUAUUACAUUGUAUAUAUGUACCACAUCUUUAUCCAUUCAUCUGUUGAUGGACGUUUAGAUUGAAACAAGAUUAUUUUUAUUUUCUGCUUCAGCCAUUUUAGAAAAUGUAUAGGUUAUAUUGAAGUUAUAGACUAGGGUGUUUUGCUUUUAAUAACUUUGAUUAAAUUUCCAAAAGUGGCUUGGAAUUGCAUUGGAACACAGAUGUCUGUUUAGUUUGGGUUCCUGGUUUGGUCCUAGUAUCCGAUGGGAACUGGACUGGGGAGAUGAAAAGGAGAUAUAUCUACUACGUAUCCAAAAAAGCAAUCAAAUGCUUAGGGUUGUUAUAUGAGGAUUAAAUGAGUUCAUGUUUCUAAUUACUUACUUUUGAAGUAUUUCUAAUGUACAGGGCCGGCACACAGUAAAUACUAUGUAAGUAUUUGAUAAAUUUAAAAAAUCUAACAGAAAUGAGGCUGAUCCGAAUUCUGCUUUGAGGCUGUAACUAAACAGAUAUUUAUACUUUGAAUUUUCUUCCAUCCAUCAGAGGGGCUUCUGACACGGUAGCGGGCACAUUGCUGCUUCUAACGGACGCUUUUCUGACCCGUGGGCUAGCAGAGUGAUGGAUCAGGGAAUCCAGAACAUUCCAGCCUUCCAUGAUCAGAUCGUUGUUGCAACGAAAGGUCCAGCUGCAGCCACAUGAGUUCCAACUCCCAGAGGAAUAGAUGGGGAGUCACAGAUUUUAUCUUCCAUUUAAGAAAGAUUUGCACCUGGAUUCUACCCAAGCCCAAGCAGGGGAUAAAGGCAGAUGAGGCGGCCACAGACCACGUGCGAGGAGAGAAGCCAAUCCUGGGAGACAGGUUCAUGCUGACAUUCACGGAGCUUGGAACCCAUGCAUUGAACUGCUUUCCCAUUUUGUAAGCUCCAGGGUUAUUGACUUCUGAUUUCAAACGACGUGGGACAGAGAUCUCUGGAGCACACAGAGGCCACUGAUUAACCUUGCUAAUCCUAGUGUCCCUCCCUUGUCAGCCUGGUGGAGAGAAUGUGCUGGAAAAAAGGGACAGUGGAAAUACUUGAUGGAUUAAGAGGCUGGACCGGAGCGGCAAGGAGAAGCCCUCAGAGGCACGCUCCUGUUCUGAAUGGGCAGAGAAAACUAACACCGUGCCCAGUAGGGCCACCGUCCUCACUCUCAGCUUGGGGGCAAUCCCAGCCCACCUGGCCACACAUACUCCGCUAGCUAUUUUCUUUCUGCCCGGAGCUUGGAGCAGCCUGAGUCCAUACCAGCUCUCGCUGAGUCAGACUCCACCUACCCUCUGCUCCCACGGGAGGGCCUCUGGGGCUCAUGUGGCUUCAGCCAGGGCCCUGGGCUCUGCUCUCUGCAAACACAGCCCAGAGGCCGCAAGGGCACGGCAGGGUCUGCCCAGGAGAGGGAGCUCCAAGGGGCUGAAGCCCAGCCUUGGGCCCACUGUGGUCGUCUGUCAAAACGUGGUGGCAGCAGCUCUGAGAAUUGUGUAUCUCGGUCAGAAUUUCAUCUUUCAGCAGCACAGGACUUUGCAACAAAGGACACCAGCUUUGCCAAAGAGUGAAGCCUCAGUCACUGCUCCCGUGCUGGAGAGGAGAGGGAUCAGAGGAGAUCUCUGGGCAGGAACAACUUUAUUACUAUUAUUACCUUUAAUAAUUCUAAUAAUAGAGGUACUAUUGUACUUUUUAUUCCCCAGAAUAUUUUCACCUAUAUUGACUCAUUUAAUUCUUACGAUGUCCUUCUGAAGUAGGAAAGGCUGGGGUAUUAUAUUCUCAUUUAACAGGUGGAGAAACUGAGGCCGGGAAAGGAUUGCUGACUCCGUAGGAUCACACGGGAAAUCAGACAUGUUUCUUAAACUAAAAGGGAUAGUAAUAACAGCUAUAUCACCCAGGCUUCCAGCAGGAGACAGAUGGCAUCCUUCAAAGAGGUGAUUCAUGGGAGUGUAAUAAAGGGGCUAUUUACAAAGGUAUAAGCAGGGUCAGCGAAACCAGGAUGGGAAAGUAAAGCAUCCCGGGGCCAGCCAGAGCAGGAAAGCCCCUGCCACCCAUGAGCCUGGAGAGGCAAAGAGAGGGAGCCGUUACUGGAAUUCAGUGAGAGCUGUGCCGCAGGAGAAGGCCACAAGGCAGGAGCAUCGCCAAGCCCGAGAAAUGAACACCCUAUGGCCCUGUCCUCCCACCCCCUCCCAUUUCCUGUAGGUGCCUCCCGUUGGCCAAACCCAACUGGAGGCCAGAGCAGCUAUGCCCGAGGAUGCAGUUCAUGAGGUCAGCCUGCCACAGCUGAGAGCCAGUGUCCAGUGCUUGUGUAGGUACAAAAUCAGUGCUCUCGCCUGGAGAGGAAGGAGACAAGCCGUGAGCCGGGGCACGGAAGAGCUUUCCCCACACAGCACGUUCUAAUAUGGCGCUCCGAGCAUUCUGAGAAUUCUAAGUUUGAACCUGGCCGUCCAGGUUACCAAGAUAAGUUAUUUAACACUUUGUUGGCUUUGUUGAUAAAUUUCAAGUAUUUAUUUUCAACGUGAGAAUGUGGACCUCUAUAUGUAAGCUUGUCCUGGGCUACAUAAAUGUUAGGAGUGGGCCUAGAGACACAUUUGGUUUGGGUUAGUGGAUCUAUUAACAUGUUUCAAAAUCACUCCCAUUAAGUUAUUGCCAGCCAUUCUGGGGGAGGAAUGGCCUCUAGGCAUCCUCUGAGGACUUGCUGUGUGGACCCACCAAGCAUCGUAACAGAAAGUUGCAGGACUAAAAGCCAUACUGUGAAAUGAACACAUGCUGGCUGCAAAAAUGUGGCGCUGUGGAGAAGCAGCAAGUCAGAGUAAGUCCAAGGGAAAGUCUUCCCAUCAUGAAUGCAUGAGAUUGCAAACGGAAAACUUUUUCCUUCUUGACAUCUACUCGAAACUAUCAAUCAUAAAAAACAAACUUGGAUUAACUGUGCGAGAGAACAGACCGAAUCAACUUUAUAAUCUCUCUAUAGAAAAUGUUAUAAAAUCAUUGUCCUAUAAAGAGGCUACCAGUGUACACAGCCCCAAAAAAUGUAGGAAGAAGUAUUAUAGAAGCAUAUGUUAAUUAAUGAAAUAGGUUAUUUUCCUGGAUUUUGUGAUGUUUGUAGUAUUUGCGGUUUUUCUAAAAACUUGUCAUUUGUUGUGACUUUUUUUUCUCCUAAGUAAACACUUCCUGUCAUGUUCAAUUUCGUAUUUGUAAAUUUUUAUUCUUCUUCUUGAAGAGGCCCCUCCAAACGGAAUAAGCUUCAGGCCCCACAAAACCUGGACCCACGCCUGAAUUAAUAUUAUGAUUAUGAGUCCACGCGUUAUUUCAUCCCGUCUGUAGGGUGGACAAGAUUGCCCCUGUUUUACAGCAAAGAAAAAUGCAGUCCCAGAGACGAAGUUGCUUUUACUCAUUCUGAUUCUGAAGGCCUUUCUCUCUGGAUUCUGAGCUCUUCAGGGUCCUUGCCUCCGUCUGUUUGUUCUUCCUCCGACUGCUUCUACCACCCAAGUCCCAGUGGGGAGAGGCGGAGGGAGACUAAAUUGGAAGAUGAGGCCUCUGCAAAUCAGCCUCUGCUUGGAGGGCUCUGCACGUCCCUGCAGCAGCCGAGGGCGGGGAGACGGGUUGCGCCUGGGGUGGCAGCUCAGGAACUGGGCCAGACAGCUUUAGCGGAGGACAAAACAGGGGCAGUUAGAGUUUCUGCAUCCCAGACCAGGACCCUAGGCCUUCAGUUAACUGCCGGUGUGGCCUAACCCUGACGUCACAGAGUCAGGGAGGAGGCUGGUGAAGGAUGGGAUCGGGUGUCAGUUCUUCCUCAUUUCCUGCAACCGUCAGGCACAGAGACGUCUUUGCUGCUUAGAGCCGGGCCUGCCUCAAGUUUAGGAUGGCCACUAAGCGCACCUGAUUUGUCACGCAUCUUUGGCUCUGGGCCCCUGGGCUGUCCUUUGGCUAAUCAAGGCUGUUUGAGAAUUAAACGCGUUGCCUCUUAGAGCAAAAGGAACCUAAUGUCAUGGAAUCCAGUGAUUCUGGGUUCCACCCUGAGGGAAUGGAGAGUCAGUGAGGACAAUAGAAUGACUUUUUUCCAAAAGCUAAAUUUUUUUUUUUGGCCACGUGUCUUGCGGGAUCUCAGUUCCCUGACCAGGGCUGGAACCCAUGCCCCCUGCAAUGGAAGGGCGCAGUCCUAACCACUGAACC